rnacentral:rRNA from 1 species
UACAGAGGUCUCAAGCGUUGUUCGGAUUCAUUGGGCGUAAAGGGUGCGUAGGCGGGUUAUUAAGUCAGAGGUGAAAUCCUGGAGCUCAACUCCAGAACUGCCUUUGAUACUGAUAGUCUUGAGUAUGGGAGAGGUGAGUGGAACUGCGAGUGUAGAGGUGAAAUUCGUAGAUAUUCGCAAGAACACCAGUGGCGAAGGCGGCUCACUGGCCCAUUACUGACGCUGAGGCACGAAAGCGUGGGGAGCAAACAGG